UCAUUUCAGUGUCGGGUGAAGCAAUAUGAGCAGUGUUACCAUAGCUACGGAGGAAGAGCCCGAAGCAGACGCUGGUGGCUGUGUGACUGUCCCGACGGUUAUAGUUGCGACUAUUCACCGGACAAUAGAGAGUUCCGAUGCAUGCCCAACCGAGAUGAUCCUACCAGUGUUUUAAAUUCGGUUAUGAGCCGGAUUGCUUGAACCCACCAAUCCUAAGAAGACGGGUAACCGUGUCUCCACCAGUCGCUGGAUCCGUUUACCUUCUACUCAUCAUAUUUUCACUAUUAUUCCAUUUGUUAUUCCUCUGCCUGAACUUCAUCUUUAAUACUUUUAGAUAUUAAGCGUCUAAGUACUUUAGUAUGCUAAUUCAGUUUAUAAAUUUUAAUAUUUGAGUAAUCAAUUAUCUUUAUAUUUACGCAUUUAUAUAUGUACUUAAGUAUUCAAAUAUCAAAAUACUAUAGCAUUUUAAUUUUCAGUAAGAACAAUUACGUGACUUACAUCUCUUGAGCAUUUAAUUAUAUAUUUUGGAAUUAAGUUGAGUAUGUAUUAUAUUUGUUUUAUAUGCAAAAGAAAAAUUCGGGACCCACCUAAAUGUGGAUACAUAUUUUUUUUGUCAUUGUAGUUGAUCCUUUUGGGCCCAACGUGAACUUCUUAAAGACACAAAUAAAAGGGUUUAAAUCUGGCAAAUAUUAAUUAUCGCCAACUACACUUACUACCCUAUCCACCAUAUGAGCUUUGAGGGCGUAAACUUUACAUCGAAUGACUUGUUUGAUCACUGCUUGCUGAGGGGGCCGUUAAAGAUGAAGGUUUCCACCAGAGUACAGCAUACUAAUAAUGGGCCCUUUCAUCAUUCACCACGGCAUUUUUUUUGCAAUCUCUACUCUGACGCUUUCUGUAACACAGAUAAUCCUUAGUCAUAAACCCUUCAAUGACGAAACAGCCUUUGUCGAAAAUCGGUGAUUGAAAACAGCAGUCACGUCCUCGACCCUGGACAAACAACAUAUUCGCAUUUUUUCAGACAAAAACCCCUUGGCUUUUCAUUGUGAUUCGACUUGCAUUUUCAAAGGAAUUUGUGAGUUGUAGAAAACGACUGCGUGGUGAUUGCCAAAAUACGCUAUUCCUAAUUCUUGAUAAAAAAAACUAUUCAUAUUGACAUUGAAGAGAGAGUCUCGUCAGGCAGUAGACGGCUCUGAAAUAUUAUCUCGAAUUGUCAAAUUACAUUAUAUUCACGAUUUCUUUGAGCAAAUUUGAUCCCGGCAUAUAAAUAUUCUUAGUUACAUGAUAAUACACCCCAAAGUACAAUUUUCGACUUGUACAAGAAGACGUAGAUGGCGUACAAGUAUUUGUCAUCUAUCAUCUUUUUUCAAGUAUCAUCAUGAUGAAGACCAACCUGUAUUGCAUGCAUCCGUGAUGAUGAUUAGAUAAAAUUUCAUGACAAGUUUGAUUGCCGUAUCAUUUGUGAUUAGAAAAUAAGGCCUAUUAGAAAUGAUGAUAAUUUCAAUAACAUAGAUUUAUUGAUACAGUUGAUGAUGACAAUAUUAACAAGGUUGAUGAUUAUGACUAUGGCAAUGAUAAUGAUGAACGUAUUGUUAGUAUUCUCAAAUAUUGAUGAAAACAUUUUUAUAAGCCCUGCAUGAGGUAAAACACAACAAUCUGUUAUUAGUAGUAAUAAUGUUUCAAGAAAAAUUUAUUGUCAUUAUUUGUGCUUAUUCCGAGCUUAUUAUCAACUUCAAGGAAUUAUGUAUAAAUCAUUCAUUAUGUUUUAAGGCUAAGUGGCAACGUUUAAUCUUGCAAGUGUACAAAUGUAGAAUUAAGUAAAAGUUCAUCCCGGGUUAUGUGUACAUUUUUAGAAAGGUAUUGUUCAGGAAUGAUUAUUCUUUUGGUCGUUAAUUAUGUUUAUCCUGUUUUUAAUCUGUUUGAUACUUAUCCACUCAAAGUACCAUCUACCUUAUUUGAAGGGAGAAAAAAAAAUGACGGAAAACAGCAUGAGAUAGAUCACCAUACAAUUGCGAGUCUUGUUUCAUUCAAUGUCAAUUAUUGUCAUACCUUAUGAACACGGUGAAUGGUCUAUGUUAUAAACUUAAGGCGAUAGGUUGCAAUGGACCGUUUGUACAAGUUCUAUAAAUAAAUAGUUUAAAAUUGUUGGAUAAAUUUAGUUAACUUCAACGUGACUCUGCGUUAUCAUACACCCAUUAAAACUCGACAGACCAUGGAAACAUUAUUCUUAGAAAAGGUAUAAUCUUAGAGUAAUGUUAAUUGAAUGCCAAGGCCGUUUGUUCCCCUAUCUUUCAAAAUUGAGUUAAGGGUGUUGAUAAAAUGUGUGCACUAGGUUGCUGAUUGAUUACAAAUAUCCAUUGCAUUUUCCUUCUCAUAAAUCAUGCUUAACUAAUAUUCAAGGUAAUAGAUCUGUAAUAAGGGUAGCAUUAGACAUGAGCAAAUCUCAAAUCAAUUAGAAACACGAACUAUGUUGGAUCUAUAUUUGACUUGAAUUUGGUUGUGCAAUUCUUGCUAUUGGACCGAAUGAAACAGUGGCAUACAUCUCGUUAAUGCCUAUUACACGAAAAUGACCAGCUUUCUUCAAUCAAACUUCGAACUGUAUUGAUAAUCAGUAAAACGAAUAAUAUAUUCGAAAUUUUAAUAAAUACAUCGAUCAUCAACAUCACUACCGAAAUGGUUAAUUACAUAUCUGAAUUCAUGAAAGCAAGCAAAAUGUAACAAAUGAUAUCAUACAGUCCUAAUCCUUGUUUAUUUUACUAUUAAUAUCAUUUCUACAUGAGAUCAGUUUUAAAACAAAGAAAUUAUUAACUUAUAAGGGAAUCAUCUUGUUCCAGUGUUUAAGUUGGAAAGAAAUAAUUGAUUAAUCUUAACAAUACAUGUUGUGUUUUGUAGCAUUCUUGUGACGUAAUGUUGCUAUUCGGAAAUACAUAUUUGAUGUGAUAUAUGUCUGUUUUUGUUCACUUUAUCUCAUUAUGCUUUAAAUGAAUACAUGUUAUUUCAAAA